CCUACGGGUGGCAGCAGUGAGGAAUAUUGGUCAAUGGGCUUACGCCUGAACCAGCCAAGUCGCGUGAGGGACGACUGCCCUAUGGGUUGUAAACCUCUUUUGUCAGGGAGCAACGCCGGCUACGUGUAGCCGGACUGAGAGUACCUGAAGAAAAAGCAUCGGCUAACUCCGUGCCAGCAGCCGCGGUAAUACGGAGGAUGCAAGCGUUAUCCGGAUUGAUUGGGUUUAAAGGGUGCGUAGGCGGAAUGUCAAGUCAGCGGUAAAAGCGAGGGGCUCAACCUCGCUCCGCCGUUGAUACUGGCGUGCUAGAGUGGGCGAGAGGUAUGCGGAAUGCGUGGUGUAGCGGUGAAAUGCAUAGAUAUCACGAAGAACUCCGAUUGCGAAGGCAGCAUACCGGCGCUCAACUGACGCUGAGGGACGAAAGCGUGGGGAGCGAACAGGAUUAGAUACCCUGGUAGUC
rnacentral:rRNA from 1 species